UGGAAACACAGCAGUGAACUGCUUCACGUAGCUGACAUUUUAAAGGACAAGAAACAAGAGAUGGCCUCAAAACGAGCAAAGCCAUCAUGCUGAACUUAAAUGUUUAAAAUCCUGAUCCAGGUCCAAAGACUAAGCGCCAGUCAGCCUGACCAGUAUUCAGGGUCACAAGAGAAACCCUUUUGAGUCAAGGGCAACAAUCAUAACAGAUCUUGGACUUCUCAAAAUGGCACCCAGAAAUGUAAGAGUGUAGAGAAAGCCAGCCCCACAUCAACACCCACCUGAACUCCUGCUUUUGGCACCCCCUCCCUGUUUCCUUACUCCUGGCUUUGUCUCUGGUCAUGGAAUUCUCAUGCCACAGGUAUUUCUAUCCCAACUUACACAUCCAACCUGUAUCUACAACCCUCAUUCAGCAACUAAACAGUCCUUAACCACCCCUUGGACCACAGGAGUAUAUUCAUGCUGUUUCUCCUUUAGACCAAAGUCUCAUCAAUCUUUCCAGGAGCCAAUUUUAGAGAAAAAGAUUCAUGUAAAUCUACAAGUUCAACAUUGGGAAUGGAUUUCUGGGCUCCCAGAUACUCAGAAAAUGGUCUAGAUAGGAAACAA